UACGUAGGGUGCAAGCGUUAAUCGGAAUUACUGGGCGUAAAGCGUGCGCAGGCGGUUUUGUAAGUCUGUCGUGAAAUCCCCGGGCUCAACCUGGGAAUUGCGAUGGAGACUGCAAGGCUAGAAUCUGGCAGAGGGGGGUAGAAUUCCACGUGUAGCAGUGAAAUGCGUAGAGAUGUGGAGGAACACCGAUGGCGAAGGCAGCCCCCUGGGCUAACACUGACGCUCAGGCACGAAAGCGUGGGGAGCAAACAGG
rnacentral:rRNA from 1 species